AACGAACGCUGGCGGCAUGCCUAACACAUGCAAGUCGAACGAGACCUCCGGAUCUAGUUGCGCUCGGGGGCGUAACGCGGGGGAAGCUGCACUUAGGUACGGAAUACUUCCCUGUAGGGGGUGCUAAUACAGGAUAAUGUCCUCUGAUAAAAGAUCUAUCGCCUUUGGAUGGGCCGGGGUUGGUUUAGCUAGUUGGUAGGGUAAAAGCCUAUCACGGCUUCGAUCCAUAGCUGGGCUGAGAGGAUGCGCAGCCACACUGGGACUCGGACACGGCCCGGACUCCUACGGGAGGGGGGAGUGGGGAAUAUUGGACAAUGGGCGGAAGCCUGAUCCAGCAAGGCCGCGUGAGUGAUGAAGGCGUUAGGGAUGUAAAGCUCUUUUACCCGGGAUGAUAAUGACGGUACCGGGAGAAUAAGCACCGGCUAACUCCGUG
rnacentral:rRNA from 1 species